GGACUCAUAGCUCAAUGGUUAAAGCGUCGGUCUACGAAGCCGGAGAUUCGGGGUUCGAAUCCCCGUGAGUUCG